GAAGGACCCGGUCUUCGGACUGGGAGCGUACACAGGUGCUGCAUGGCUGUCGUCAGCUCGUGUCGUGGAGAUGUUGGGUUAAGUCCCGCAACGAGCGCAACCCUGCUGCCAGUUGCCAACGGGUGAAGCCGGGCACUCUGGCGGGACUGCCAUCGACAAGAUGGAGGAAGGUGGGGAUGACGUCAAGUCAUCAUGGCCCUUAUGUCCAGGGCGACACACGUGCUACAAUGGCCGGCACAGCGGGAAGCGAGGCAGUGAUGCCAAGCGGAUCCCUUAAAGCCGGUCUCAGUUCGGAUUGAAGUCUGCAACUCGACUUCAUGAAGCUGGAAUCGCUAGUAAUCGCAGAUCAGCCAAGCUGCGGUGAAUACGUUCCCGGGCCUU
rnacentral:rRNA from 1 species